CUCAAGUUAACACACACACACACUGCUACAUCAUCCUCAAGGUAACACACACACACACACACACUGCUACAUCAUCCUCAAGUUAACACACACACACACUGCUACAUCAUCCUCAAGUUAACACACACACACACACACACACACACUGCUACAUCAUCCUCAAGGUAGCACACACACACACUGCUACAUCAUCCUCAAGUUAACACACACACACACACACACUGCUACAUCAUCCUCAAGUUAACACACACACACACUGCUACAUCAUCCUCAAGUUAACACACACACACACUGCUACAUAAUCCUCAAGGUAGCACACACACACACACUGCUACAUCAUCCUCAAGGUAGCACACACACACACACUGCUACAUCAUCCUCAAGUUAACACACACACACACACAC
ensembl:lncRNA